CAGAUUAAAUGAAAAAUAAGAGAAAACAGUGAACACCUUCCACGUUUAUGGCGCAUGGUGCAGAGCACUGAUAACGUACGUCUAAUGCUGACAAACAAAACGACCAGAAUACAGCGUCGCUAAAGCCUCAAAAUCAAACCUGUCAUGGCGAUGACACUGUUGAUCUCUGUGAGGAGAUGCUACAGAUCUCCAUGUUGGUGAAGGAGCUCCCGGCCUCGCUGCCGCAUUCUGGGUACGAAGAGCUGGAGGAAAUGAUGUUCUUCAGCCUGUGGAGAGCAAUGAUCAGCAGGGCAACCUGCGUAUCGGUGGGCUUGUGAGCUGGUGCGGGUUGUUGAUAGGCCACCGACGGUCCAUUAGGACUUUGGGGUGGUCACAUCGGCUCAGUGGUGCACACAGAAGAACAAAUUAACUCAUACAAGUUUUGAAGUACGAGGGUGAAAUAGAAAAAGGUGCCGAAAGAAGGUUGCUAAGAUAAUAAAAAGAGAGUCUGGAGCGGACUGGCAUAUGGAUGGAGCUUGGGAUGCAAGCGCUGGGGCAGAGCUAUGCAUGUCAAUAGGACCGAGGCGCCAUGCCUCCUGGGAAGGUCUUAUCUCUUCUGCUCUGUGCACUGAAGACACGGAACACAAGCUUAUGGAUCAACUCAAAGCAAAACAUGACUGUCUCUUCUGUUAUUUUGUAUCAUGGGAAUUUUGUUUCAGUAUUAAUGAAAGCUAGCUAGCAUUCUUACUCAUUGAUCACCAGUGAUUUAUCUUGGAGCAGUAGAAUACUCUCUGUUCCUCUUAAAGGUACAGUUCACUAAACAUGAAAUUCUGUCAUCAUUUAUUCACCCUUGAGUCAUUUCAAAACUGUUUUUGUCUAUGCAGGUCAGUAAGGUCCAAUACAAGGUGUGUAACAAUAAGGUACAUAAAAAACUGUGCAAUUUACUGUUAAAAAAACAAGCUAUGGUUACCAGACUUAUUUCCAUAAAGAUAUGCUGGAAACUAUUUUGUUUUACAUUUUAAGCUUAAGUUUUAAGUAUAUUCAAAGGGUGCAUUGUCUUUGUUAUAAAAAUAUUUUCCAUUGUUUCAAACCUUUUUGUUUUGUGUUCCACAGAAGAAAGAAAUUCAUAUGAAAUGAGGGUGAGUAAAUAAUGACCGAACAUUUUUGGCUGAACUACCUCUUUAACAUUCAUCUGAGUAUUCACUCUCUUCAUAACAUGUGCAAGGACAGGAGAGGGCAAUUUCUGCCUCUAGACGUAUAUUGGCGGCGUUCCACUGUCAGCUCAGUUGCCCACUGGGGACCAUUGGUACCCUUCCUGAGUCCUGCUGUGUCUGAUCCUGUCCUUUGGGUCUUUAUAAUUGCACCAGCUAAUGCCGGCGCUGAGGCACAUGAGUAAAUGCUGUUGGAUUUUGAUAAGAACAGUGCCUUGGCUGAUUUUUCCUCUAAUCCGUGGAAACUGUAAAAAUCAGAGAAGGUUUCUUAUUCCCUUGAUGCAAGCGAUUCAACCAGCUUUGGUGCAUCUAUUCCCUGCACUCAAGUAGGUCGAAUGUUAACGCAUGGCAUUCGGAGGCAAGGCCGUCUGAAGCAUUUUUCAUUAGACUGUGAGCUAACUUGAGGGGGAAUGGGUCGCAUUGAUAAUGAAUCAUCCGCUCACCCUGAGUCUGCUCUACUGAUUUUGACAAGAAUGUCAUGUUUGAAGAAGCUUUGUGGCAGACAACAGCAAUGUGUCACUCAGGAUUAUCCUGUGGAAUUCUCUAGGCACUAUGGGAAGGUUUACACAGUGAAGCAUGUCAGAGUCGGAGAGCACACUCUUCUCUCUUUCUAUUUCCCGUUUUCCAUUUUAUUUCCCUGCUGAAAUGAUGCUCUUUGCAUAGCAAUCCAAAUCUCAGAGGUCUCUGUAUUUCUCUGACAGCUCAGACAGAGUCACCUUCUAGUGGUCUAGCAGCUGCCAGCAUAUCAGGCACACUUGUACAUUUAUAGACACUGAUAUGGAUUUUAAAUAAAAGAAACACAAAAAAUGUACAAAACAUUUCAUAGAUAAAUGUGUAUUUAAUAAUUUGGCUUACAUUUCUGGAUAAAGGGAUGGAUAUGAAACAAGGCUAACUGUCAUUAUAUUUAUUUUUAUUUUAAAACCUUUUAAAAGUUUAAUGCAGGCAUGCACAUGAAUCAUGUACUUGUAUAAGUUUUGAGUUCAUUUAAUUAAAAAGUCUAAAAAGUUGUUUUUCUUAGAGAAGUUGUAGGCUUCGAACUUGAAAACUUAAUAAUAAAAAGUUAAUGUAAUGGUCAUUUAAAUUGCAUGUUAAAGAACUUACAUAUCGUGCCAAAAUAGCAAGACAUAUAUUUGAUAUUAUUUAUCAAUCAUUUAAUUUAAAACUUUAAUUUUUGUCAGUAAAAAGGCCUUUUUCUCAGAGAAAGUAUGAAAAUACCAAGAAAGAUUCUAAUUUAAAUAGAUAAAUUGUUUCAUUUAAUUGGAUUAAAUAUAAAGUGCCCUUCACAAUUAUUGGCAUCCUUGCUUAAGGUCGUGGACUUCUAAAAACAAAAUCAUGUGUCCCGCAAUUAUUGGCACCCCUAACAAGCUCACUGUCACAGAAUGCAUCCAAGGGUGGCAUCUUGGGGUCUCCAUAACAACCAUCAGACGCUCUCUACAUGCCAACAAGCUGUUUGGGAGGCAUGCAAAGAAAAAGCCUGGAGUUUGCUAAGUGGUACUGGGACUUUAACUGGGAACCUGGGAACCUUGUUAGGGGACAUGGCAUUAUAAACGC